rnacentral:rRNA from 1 species
AGCAGUCGCCACGGUAAUACGAAGGGUGCAAGCGUUACUCGGAAUUACUGGGCGUAAAGCGUGCGUAGGUGGUGGUUUAAGUCCGUUGUGAAAGCCCUGGGCUCAACCUGGGAAUUGCAGUGGAUACUGGGUCACUAGAGUGUGGUAGAGGAUAGUGGAAUUUCCGGUGUAGCAGUGAAAUGCGUAGAGAUCGGAAGGAACAUCUGUGGCGAAGGCGACUAUCUGGGCCAACACUGACACUGAGGCACGAAAGCGUGGGGAGCAAACAGGAUUAGAUACCCCGGUAGUCCCUGUCUCUUAUAC